rnacentral:rRNA from 1 species
AUGCUCAUGUACGUCGACUGUCUUGAUCUGUCCAUCGUGGAUUUCACUGGGACAGCAGGCCCGCCGCCUACACACAAGUUUUCUGUUUCUGCGUGGACUAUCGAUGCUAUCAAGGCUGUGCUUGCUGCAGACAGGAUAACUGAUACCAAAUAUGGAAAACUGCAGCUGAUGGCCAAGCAUGCUAUAGACUACAAUGUGUUUGGGGGGCCUCAAAACUUUGGAAAGUGGAUGGACGUGCACUCAGCUCCGUCUUGCCCUACUGAGGAGAGGGCACCUGUUGAGCAUCUAAUUGGGCAGUUUGCAUCCGGAAUGACCGGCUUGCUCGGGAAGUUGGUUGAGGGGUGGACGUCCCUUAAUGGCUCCGACAGCGACGCGGUUGCGAGGCAGUUCACUACAUUUGUCCCAGAACGGACACAUCGGCCAACUGGUUGCCGUGGCCGGUAUGACUACAACAGUUCCCAAGAGCUUGCUGACACACAAGAUGAACUAGAUGGAGACGCUGGUCUCAGCAAGGAUGACGAUGAUGACAUGGAGAACGCGUAA